rnacentral:ncRNA from 2 species
CCGUUCGAGGGGCGCUGCAGCACGCUGCGUUAUCCCAUCCUAGCCGACCCGCCGCUGGCGCGGACCCUCGGCGGGCAUGACGCCAGACGUUGUCAGGCUCGAGCGGAGCGUUAUCAGAACGCAUCAACGGCGCCCAUUCGCA